UAUAAUUAAAUGGGUUUUGUUUUACAAUAUUAAAUUAUUGUAUAUAUCAUGAACAUAGCAUGAACUCUUAAAGAAAAAUCCUUGAACCAGUCGAUCCAUUAAUAAGUAUUUGCAAAAAAAAAAUUCACAUCAAGGUUUUUAAGAUAUAGAGAAAAUGGUAGAAUGAUUUAAUAUGGUAAAUUGUCUUUUUGUAACAAAUACUUUCUUUGUGUUUUAGAUUUUUGAUGAUUAUGUUACAAAAAUAUUAUUAUGACAACAAUAUGUCCCAUUGUAAUUAGAUUAGGGAUCAUGAUUAACUAAGACAAACAAACCCUGCCCU
rnacentral:lncRNA from 1 species